UGAGAUUGUUAGCCAUGCAAUUUCAGAGUGCAUCUCUGAAAAGAAAGAUCUCAAGAAAGCCGCUAAUCAAAAGAAAGUCACUAAUCAAAAGAAAGUCAUUAAUCAGUCUGUCAAGAUGUCAUCUCCUGGUACCAGAAUGUCUGCAGGUUGUGGUGGCAGUAAGGCCUUAAUUGAUCCUGAGAGGAGUGCAGAAGCUCCUAAUCUUCUUAACUGGGAAUCUGCUGCUGCUGAAAUCCCUUCGAAGUCUUCAGGAAGCUCGAAAUCUGUUGGA
rnacentral:misc_RNA from 1 species